rnacentral:rRNA from 1 species
UAAGGAAUAUUGGACAAUGGAGGCAACUCUGAUCCAGCCAUGCCGCGUGAAGGAAUAAGGCCCUAUGGGUUGUAAACUUCUUUUAGACGGGACAAAACCCCUUUACGUGUAAAGGGUUGAUGGUACUGUCAGAAUAAGCAUCGGCUAACUUCGUGCCAGCAGCCGCGGUAAUACGAAGGAUGCAAGCGUUAUCCGGAAUUAUUGGGUUUAAAGGGUGCGUAGGCGGACUAAUAAGUCAGUGGUGAAAGCCUGCAGCUUAACUGCAGAAUUGCCAUUGAUACUGUUAGUCUUGAGUACAGUUGAGGUAGGCGGAAUGUGUCAUGUAGCGGUGAAAUGCUUAGAUAUGACACAGAACACCGAUUGCGAAGGCAGCUUGCUAAGCUGUAACUGACGCUGAGGCACAAAAGCGUGGGGAGCAAACA